AUUGAACGCUGGCGGCAUGCCUUACACAUGCAAGUCGAACGGUAACAGGUCUUCGGAUGCUGACGAGUGGCGAACGGGUGAGUAAUACAUCGGAACGUGCCUAGUAGUGGGGGAUAACUACUCGAAAGAGUGGCUAAUACCGCAUGAGAUCUAUGGAUGAAAGCAGGGGAUCGCAAGACCUUGUGCUACUAGAGCGGCCGAUGGCAGAUUAGGUAGUUGGUGGGAUAAAAGCUUACCAAGCCGACGAUCUGUAGCUGGUCUGAGAGGACGAUCAGCCACACUGGGACUGAGACACGGCCCAGACUCCUACGGGAGGCAGCAGUGGGGAAUUUUGGACAAUGGGCGCAAGCCUGAUCCAGCAAUGCCGCGUGCAGGAUGAAGGCCUUCGGGUUGUAAACUGCUUUUGUACGGAACGAAAAGCCCUGGGUUAAUACCCUGGGGUCAUGACGGUACCGUAAGAAUAAGCACCGGCUAACUACGUGCCAGCCGCCGCCGCAGUAA
rnacentral:rRNA from 1 species